rnacentral:lncRNA from 1 species
AUGAGAGAAGAGCAAGUGCUGGAAGCAGAGAAGAGCCAUGGCACCAUUCUUAAUACAGUCUGCAACUUACUUCAGUGUGUAACUGUCUCAUCAUUUAAAAACGCAACCCCUUCAACUGGUCACCACUUAAGAGGGAUUAUUUGGCUGGAUGGACCUUUGAAUGAUGCAGUGCAGCUACUUGGUAGCAACUUCUACACUAUGGUUCUCGCUGUAAAAUCUGGCUCCAUUCUGCUCUGUGCUGCUGAGGGAUUAUUCACUUCUAGUUGAAGUGUGCUGGAAAGGAUAGAAUUGUUUAAGGACAUAAAUGGAAUUUGAAUUUCUGCAGCAACUUCCCUUUUGGUGUGACUGUUGCCCGAAACUUAGUAAGAUCCAUGC